rnacentral:rRNA from 1 species
GAUGAACGCUAGCGGCAGGCUUAACACAUGCAAGUCGAGGGGUAGGAGAAGCUUGCUUUUCUGAGACCGGCGCACGGGUGCGUAACGCGUAUGCAAUCUACCUUUCACAGAGGGAUAGCCCAGAGAAAUUUGGAUUAAUACCUCAUAGUAAUACGACUUGGCAUCAAGAUGUAUUUAAAGAUUUAUCGGUGAAAGAUGAGCAUGCGUCCCAUUAGCUAGUUGGUAUGGUAACGGCAUACCAAGGCAGCGAUGGGUAGGGGUCCUGAGAGGGAGAUCCCCCACACUGGUACUGAGACACGGACCAGACUCCUACGGGAGGCAGCAGUGAGGAAUAUUGGACAAUGGGCGCAAGCCUGAUCCAGCCAUGCCGCGUGCAGGAUGACGGUCCUAUGGAUUGUAAACUGCUUUUAUACAGGAAGAAACCCCUCUACGUGUAGAGACUUGACGGUACUGUAAGAAUAAGGAUCGGCUAACUCCGUGCCAGCAGCCGCGGUAAUACGGAGGAUCCAAGCGUUAUCCGGAAUCAUUGGGUUUAAAGGGUCCGUAGGCGGUCAGGUAAGUCAGUGGUGAAAGCCCAUCGCUCAACGGUGGAACGGCCAUUGAUACUGUCUGACUUGAAUUAUUAGGAAGUAACUAGAAUAUGUAGUGUAGUGGUGAAAUGCUUAGAGAUUACAUGGAAUACCAAUCGCGAAGGCGGGUUACUACUAAUUGAUUGACGCUGAUGGACGAAAGCGUGGGUAGCGAACAGGAUUAGAUACCCUGGUAGUCCACGCCGUAAACGAUGGAUACUAGCUGUUGGGAGCAAUCUCAGUGGCUAAGCGAAAGUGAUAAGUAUCCCACCUGGGGAGUACGAACGCAAGUUUGAAACU